rnacentral:rRNA from 1 species
AGAAUCUGAAACCUAGUGUUUACAAGCAGCGAAAGUAGACAAGAACUACGAUCGCGUACUUUUUGUAGAACGGGCCAGCGAGUUACGAUUAUUAGCAAGGUUAAACAUUACAGAUGUGGAGCCGAAGCGAAAGCGAGUCUAAAGAGGGCAAAAGUUAGUAGUCGUAGACCCGAAACCGUGUGAUCUAUCCAUGGGCAGAGUGAAGUUGAAGUAAAAUUCAAUGGAGGCUCGAACCGGGUAGCGUUUAAAAGCUAUCGGAUGACCUGUGGAUAGGGGUGAAAAGCCAAACGAACACGGAGAUAGCUGGUUCUCCUCGAAAUAGCUUUAGGGCUAGCCUCUAGAUAAGUGAAAAGGGGGUAGAGCACUGAAUGGUCAAGGGGCAUGCAUAUGUUACCAAGACCUAUCAAACUCCGAAUACCAUAUCACAAACUAGGGAGUCAGACUAUGUGGGAUGAGCUUCAUAGUCGAAAGGGAAAGAGCCCAGACCAUCAGCUAAGGUCCCAAAAUAAUAGUUAAGUGGGAAAGGAUGUGGAGUUACUGAGACAACUAGGAUGUUGGCUUAGAAGCAGCCACUCAUUUAAAGAGUGCGUAAUAGCUCACUAGUCAAGUGACUCUGCGCCGAAGAUAACCGGGGCUAAACUAUAUACCGAAGCUAUGGAACGUCAAACGUUGGUAGAGGAGCAAUGUAUGAAGGAAGAAGCAAAAGGCGAAAGCCAUUGUGGACAACAUACAAGAGAGAAUGCUGGCAUGAGUAGCGAGAGGUGAGUGAGAAUCUCACCCGUCGAAAACCUAAGGAUUCCUGAGCAAGGCUCGUCCACUCAGGGUAAGUCGGGACCUAAGGCGAGGCUGAAAAGCGUAGUCGAUGGACAACAGGUGGAAAAUCCUGUACCGAUACAAUCGU